UGGGGAAUUUUGGACAAUGGGCGAAAACCUGAUCCAGCAAUGCCGCGUGUGUGAAGAAGGCCUUCGGGUUGUAAAGCACUUUUGUCCGGAAAGAAAUCCUUGGCUCUAAUACAGUCGGGGGAUGACGGUACCGGAAGAAUAAGCACCGGCUAACUACGUGCCAGCAGCCGCGGUAAUACGUAGGGUGCAAGCGUUAAUCGGAAUUACUGGGCGUAAAGCGUGCGCAGGCGGUUUGCUAAGACCGAUGUGAAAUCCCCGGGCUCAACCUGGGAACUGCAUUGGUGACUGGCAGGCUAGAGUAUGGCAGAGGGGGGUAGAAUUCCACGUGUAGCAGUGAAAUGCGUAGAGAUGUGGAGGAAUACCGAUGGCGAAGGCAGCCCCCUGGGCCAAUACUGACGCUCAUGCACGAAAGCGUGGGGAGCAAACAGGAUUAGAUACCCUGGUAGUCCACGCCCUAAACGAUGUCAACUAGUUGUUGGGGAUUCAUUCCUUAGUAACGUAGCUAACGCGUGAAGUUGACCGCCUGGGGAGUACGGUCGCAAGAUUAAAACUCAAAUGAAUUGACGGGGUCAUAGCUGUUUCCU
rnacentral:rRNA from 1 species